AUGGAAUUCUGCACUGCUUCCCUUGAACGAGGGAAUCCCCGUAAGCGCGAGUCAUUAGCUCGCGUUGAUUACGUCCCUGCCCUUUGUACACACCGCCCGUCGCUACUACCGAUUGAAUGGUUUAGUGAGGUCCUCCGAUUGGACCCGGUCCGGGCGGCGACGUCCGAGCCGGCGUCCGAGAAGACGAUCUAACUUGAUCAUUUAGAGGAAGUAAAAGUCGUAACAAGGUUUCCGUAGGUGAACCUGCGGAAGGAUCAUUA
rnacentral:ncRNA from 1 species